rnacentral:tRNA from 1 species
UAUAAAGUAGUAUAGGGAGUACAUGGAGUUUUGAUCUCCGAGGGAGAGGUUCAAUUCUUCUCUUUAUAA